rnacentral:rRNA from 1 species
CAGUCGACGAAGUAGCAAUACUUAGUGGCGAACGGGUGAGUAUAAUGUGGGUAUCUGCCUUUUGGUUUGGAAUAACACGGGGAAACUUGUGCUAAUACCGGAUAAGCCUUUACAGGGAAAGUUUUAACGCCAAAAGAUGAGCCCGCACUUGAUUAGCUAGUUGGUAAGGUAAUGGCUUACCAAGGCUACGAUCAAUAGCUGAUCUGAGAGGAUGAUCAGCCACAUUGGGACUGAGACACGGCCCAAACUCCUACGGGAGGCAGCAGUGGGGAAUCUUGCACAAUGGGGGGAACCCUGAUGCAGCGAUGCCGCGUGAGUGAAGAAGGCCUUUGGGUUGUAAAGCUCUUUCGUCGGGGAAGAAAAUGACUGUACCCGAAUAAGAAGGUCCGGCUAACUUCGUGCCAGCAGCCGCGGUAAUACGGAAGGUGCGAGCGUUAAUCGGAAUUACUGGGCGUAAAGCGAGCGUAGGCUGUUAAUUAAGUCGAAUGUGAAAUCCCCGGGCUCAACCUGGGAACUGCAUUCGAAACUAUUUGACUAGAGUAUGGGAGAGGAAAGUAGAAUUUCCGGUGUAGCGGUGAAAUGCGUAGAUAUCGGAAGGAAUACCAGUGGCGAAGGCGGCUUUCUGGAACAAUACUGACGCUAAGGUUCGAAAAGCGUGGGGAGCAAACAGGAUUAGAUACCCCUGGUAGUCCCACGCCGUAAACGAUGAGAACUA